rnacentral:rRNA from 1 species
GAUGAACGCUGGCGGCGUGCCUAAUACAUGCAAGUCGAGCGAACAGAUCAGGAGCUCGCUCCUUUGAAGUUAGCGGCGGACGGGUGAGUAACACGUGGAUAACCUACCUAUAAGACUGGGAUAACUUCGGGAAACCGGAGCUAAUACCGGAUAACAUAUUGAACCGCAUGGUUCAAUAGUGAAAGGCGGCUUUGCUGUCACUUAUAGAUGGAUCCGCGCCGUAUUAGCUAGUUGGUAAGGUAACGGCUUACCAAGGCAACGAUACGUGGCCGACCUGAGAGGGUGAUCGGCCACACUGGAACUGAGACACGGUCCAGACUCCUACGGGAGGCAGCAGUAGGGAAUCUUCCGCAAUGGGCGAAAGCCUGACGGAGCAACGCCGCGUGAGUGAUGAAGGUCUUCGGAUCGUAAAACUCUGUUAUCAGGGAAGAACAAAUGUGUAAGUAACUGUGCACAUCUUGACGGUACCUAAUCAGAAAGCCACGGCUAACUACGUG